rnacentral:sRNA from 1 species
CUUCACAUUUUGACUGCUUUCCCUGGUUCUGUGAAUUCCUUCCAAGUUGCUGCCAUCUUUCCACUAAUAAGCUGCCCAAUACACUGUACCGGUCACCUCUCCGGAGCCUCUCAUGGCCUCCUGGAUGCUCUUCAGCCUCUAUUCUGGAAAAACCAAGUCUUAUACCACCCACUACAAUGCUCUUUCAGCCCUGUGCUCUCCAGGUGGCCUUGGGCUGUUACCUCUUGUCGUUCAUCACCCCUACCACCUUGGCAAGAUUAAGAUUGUUAAUAAAGAUGUUAACACGUUCUCUAGGCCUCACUCCAACCUCGCCAUAGCUGGCCCGCUAUCUGAGGCCCUCUGCUCAAGAAAAGAAACUGCAUUUUAUCAUAAGUUCUGUUGUUUACCGUCUCCUGAUGGCCUGGAGCUUUUGGCUGUCUUGCUUAAAUGUGACUCAAAGCAGUUAAAAAAUAAAGAAGGAAAUAAAAUGAAAAACAACAACGGAAAGAAGAAAAGGGCAACCUCAGCCUGAUGAAAUACUUGGGAGAGUGAGACCUAUCCCUCUCCGGAAUAAAUUGCUAGUUGUCUUUCA